GAAUGCCAAUUGUGUGAACUGCCCUACUGUCUUGUAUCUAUAGGAAGUACCCAGAUUUUGUAAGAUCUUGUAAGAUCUGCUAGAGCAACAUUCUGAACAGUGAGCUUCUGACCCAGGCCUUCCACCUGAGAUUAUUUAGAAAUGAUUAGAUGUCACCACCAAACUGGCAAUUGUACAGGCAUCUACAAGGAAGGCAAUAUGGCCAGUGAAAGGUUAAUCAACAGGACUUGCAAUCAAUCAAUGAGACACAAGAAUCAAGCAACUAGCAAAGAGGUGGUGAAUCAGUACAGUGUCAUCAAGCACAUUCCCUUGCCACUGCUGAUCAUUUGAACAACGUAAUCAAACACCUCUACAGACAACUAGAAAUCUAAUUGUUUUUCAUUACUGAAUUGUAAUUAAACUGGAGGACCAUGCUGGGGGCAGACAGCCAGGUGCACAGAAUUGUGGAAAAUGUGUCUUAGAUGUGCUAUACAGAAA